rnacentral:rRNA from 1 species
GAUGAACGCUAGCGGCAGGCUUAAUACAUGCAAGUCGAGGGGUAGCAAGAUUGUAGCAAUACAAUUGUUGACGACCGGCAAACGGGUGCGGAACACGUACACAACCUUCCUACAAGUGGGGAAUAGCCCAGAGAAAUUUGGAUUAAUACCCCGUAACAUAGCGAUGUGGCAUCACAUUGCUAUUAUAGCUUCGGCGCUUGUUGAUGGGUGUGCGGCUGAUUAGAUAGUUGGCGGGGUAACGGCACACCAAGUCUACGAUCAGUAGCUGAUGUGAGAGCAUGAUCCGCCAGACGGGCACUGAGACAAGGGCCCGACUCCUACGGGAGGCAGCAGUAAGGAAUAUUGGACAAUGGACGCAAGUCUGAUCCAGCCAUGCCGCGUGAAGGAUUAAGGUCCUCUGGAUUGUAAACUUCUUUUAUAAGGGACGAAAAAAGGUCUUUCUAGAUCGUCUGACGGUACCUUAUGAAUAAGCACCGGCUAACUCCGUGCCAGCCGCCGCAGUAAUAC